UGUUGAGCAUUUUUUCAUGUUUGUUGGCCAUUAGUGUGUCUUCUUUUGAAAAAAGAAAAGGGCAUUUUGAAGGAUGAAACAACAGGAUUCAGUUACAAGUCAGUCACUGUAAUGAAAGGGCUUGAUCAAGUGAGAACAAAAUCCCUAAAAGCAAACUGAGCCCAGUCAGGCUGUUUCAGUGCACUUCUUGCUUAUAUAGAUAAUAAUCCUUUGAAACUUAAAGUGACCCCUAGGAAAUGCCCUUUAGAACAAGCAACAAAUAUGGGGGUGAGGGGAGUGACAGCAGCAGCCAAGUAGAAGUAUCUCUAACCUCACAUCCACCAUCAGCUACAUCCUUACAGAAGAUUGGCUGCAAGAGCAUCCAAGAUUGAGACCCAGGUUGGAAGGUAAAGAGAAGUUUAUUACCUUCCUUCUCUACCAUAUCUGAUAGACAGGCUUCUUUUUCUUUUUUAGGUAGUCACUGUAAGGAAAACUUGAUGGCCCAAGGAGUUAGAUUACAGUUGACCAGGGUCUGUCCCAAAUCCCUCCAGCCAGCUCAGGAUGCCUCUGCAAUAUCAGGGCACCAUAAAUAUAGAUUUCCCUUGAAUAAACUUCCCAAGUCUACUUGAUAGCUAUCAUGAGAUCCCCACAAUGCAGACCUGCAUAUUGGUUAGAGAGCGGGUUAAGAUAAAAUCAUUUUGAGCCAGUUAUUAGUUGCAUUCAUAUCUCAGCAACACAGAUCUAGCCACAGUGUCUUAAACACAGCAUCUUAAACACUGGCAGGCAGUCCAGGGAUGAAAUGACAAUCCCAAGAAGUCAUCAAGGAUACAGGCUCCUCUAUCUUCAAAGCUGCUUCUUGGUCCAUAAUAGCUUCCACAGCACCAGCCAACUCAUCUCCUUUCCAGGAGAGAGGAAGGACAAAAGGUUGGACCCCCAUAGUCUCCCUUUAAGGAUCCUUUGUGGUAGAUUCACCCAACAAAUUCCACUCACAGCUCACUAACCAUAAUUUAAGUACCAGGCAACCUCGUCUAGCCUAGCCACAAAGGAGGAUGAGAAAUGUAUUCAUUUAACUGUGCAUAUUUUAAGUCUGAAAAACUUGGAAUUCUGUAACUAAAGGGAAACUGAGUAAUAGAUUGGAAAAUAGCAGUGUUUGCUACAUAUCCUUAACUAAUAAGGCAUUAUUUCCACAUACCUGGAAAUAAACUCUGAUCAUUAAUGGGAUGAUCUUAGCUACAUUAUCUUGUUUUUCUUCCCCUUUCCCCACCCCCAGGGUUGGGGUUUGUUUGUUUUUUCCUUUUAUGUCACAGAUCUUACCUAGGCAGGAACCUACGAGAGACUUGCUUGUGCCAACCUGCACCUUGCAUGAUUGUGAUUGUUAAUAGGACCAAGAGUAAUACCUAAAUUUCUAAAAUUAAAUGAUCUAGGCUAAAGGAGAAUGUGAUGAUAAAGAUAUAAUAUUGGCAACACUUUCAAAGUGAACUUUACUUUUUUUCCCUACUUCAGGCAAAAUUAUAAUUAGAUUGCAUCCUCAAAGAACACAUUAACUGUUACAAAAGAAGAGAAGAGCUUGGCUCAGAACAGAAGUGUUUUUUUGAACAAAAGCGAUAAAACAGGCAAUCAUGGAAGAGAUUAGGACACGGAACACACAACAGCCCACGGGGUGACCAUGAAGAUACAAGAAAGAAAGUGACCAUCUGAAAACUGGGGAGAGAGGCAUAAGGAGAAAUCAACAGGACCAACACCUUGAUCUUGGACUGCAAGCCUCCAGAACUGUGAGAAAAUAAACGUCUGUUGUUUAAGCCACCCAGUCUAUGGUAUUUUGUUACGGCAGCCUGAGCAAACAAAUAUACCAGUUCAGAGAUUUCUGUAAUCUGAUCUGCUUAUCAAAGUUUCAGCCACUGUUGAGGUUAUAAUCACAAUCGUUGGGCUUCCUUCCUUCCUGGGACUUCCCCCACUGCUCCCCUGCCCCUCUCUGCCCUGCCUCUGACCUGCCUAUAUGCAGGAGGGACAGCCUUUCUCAGCUGGCUCCUGCUCUGGUGUCAUCUGGCCCAGGUUACUAGUGACACCAGCUCCAGCCACAAACGGGGACUUUGGAAAGGGUCUGGUUCACUUUAAUUUUAGUGGCCUGCACUAAUGUGGGACUUUUUGUACAGGUGACUUCUUUGGUAUUUUCUUGCACUGUGUCCAGGGUCACCCCAACUGGCUCUCGGUCAUGGAGAUCCCUCACUCCAGCUCUGCCCGUGCAGAAGUCGUGCCUCUGUGUGGUCCCACCUACCGCUCUUCUGGGGAAGAAAAUGUUUCUCAGAAGCCAGAACUGCUCAAGUGUCAACUGGCCAACUGUGCCUGCAAGAAGACUGAUGAGCACGGCUAUUUGGUGAAGAAGACCAUGAUGGCACACUUGCCACAGACCAGGGUUUCUUAUCACCGGUGGUAUUGAAAAUAUUGGGGGGGAGGGGCCCUUUCAGUUGUCACUCGCAUAGAAAGGCACUAUUGGUAUUUAGUGGGUUGGUCUUGUAACGUUAAAUAUCCUAAAAUGCACAGGGAAAAAAAAUUGUCCUGUCCAAAAUAGCACUAGUAUGCUUGUUAAGAAAAUUGGCAUAUGGAUCUUAAAGUCAGCUGAUUAAAAAAAAAGAAAGAAAGAAAAAAGAAAAAGAAAGAAACAAAGAAAAGAAGGAAGAAAAUUGGUGUAUACCAGCCACAAUUCAUCCCUGGGCUGAAGAUACUACAUUCCUAGAUUGUGCAAGAAGAGGAACAUGGCUCCCAGCAGUGUGUGCCAUGGGCUGAAAGUUGGAAGGAGUACAGCAAUGCUUAGUCAUUCUAGCACACUAAAUCUUCAGAAAGCUGCUGUUAUUUGUACUAAAUGGGUUGCAAGGAAAAAAUGUACAGGGAUUGGGACAGGAAAAUUACUUGCAGAGGGUGUCUUCAUUUUUCCUUAUGCAGGGAUUUCCCAGUAGCUGAAAAAGCCUGUUUCCAAGAAUAAUUGACUCUGAGUUAGUUACCCGAAUCUCUGUUGCAAUCUCUGCUGACUAAUGGACUCUCCUUGCCCCUUACCACACCAAGGAAUUCAGAAUGUUUAAAACCAAACUCUACAGCCAAUAUUUGGGGGAAUAAAAUGUCUUUUGCAGACCCUCUACUAGCAUAAUGUGGCAGGGAUUUUGUAAAUGUUUCUUGGGUAUAGGACAAAUACUUGGACUCAAAACUAUACAAAUGAGGCCUGGAAAAUUGUUCAGCAUUAUGUUCAAGGAAGCAGGUACAACGAAAUAGCAUUUUUAAAAAUCUUUAUAAAGAGCUAUUUAUGUUUUAAUUACUAUUAUUUUUAAUUGACACAGAAUAAUUGUACAUAUCGGGGUACAGUGUGAUAAUUUGAUAGAUGUGUAAUGAUCAAAUCAAGGUAAUUAGCAUACCAUCACUUUAAAUAUUUAUCAUUUCUUUGUGUUGAGAACAUUAAAAACCUACUCUCCUAGCUAUUUGAAAAUAUACAAUAAACUGUUGUUCAUUAUAGUCACCCUAUAUUGCUAUAGAACACUAGAACUUAUUCCUCCUGUCUGGUUGCAUCUGUUGUCCAACCUCUGGCUAUCUCCUCCCUCCCUGCCACCCUUUCCAGGUUCUAGUAACUGUUGUUCUACUCUCUACUCUCUAAUUCUAUGAGAUCAACUUUUUUAGCUUUCCUAUGAGUGAGAACAUGCAGUAUGUAUCUUUCUGUGCCUGAC